CCAUACCUCACCUCACUCAUCCUAUCCCCUCCAAGCUGGUCCCCUUCACUUACACUAGCCCAGCCUCCAGCCAACUUGCAGUGGCCGACACCUCAACAUUAUAGGUCCUCAUUUUCAGAGGUUUAAAUUUGCAUUACCCUCAGAGCCUGUCUCCUUGUCCUCACAAACUGAUCAUGAAGGGGGAAGGAAGUUGAGCUGAAAUCCUCCUUGAGGUGUCCGAUCCCUCCAAUGUUUGAUGCACAAACAAAGCAAGAAGGAUUCCAGUACCCUCAAGAAGAAGUAGUGACUCACCAUAGAUCAUAGCACGUCUUUUUUUAGGUCUACCUUUCGUUUUCUGCUGCUAUUGCUAGUUCUGUUGCUAGCAUAUUCAUCUUGUAAAUUGGAAAGUACAGCUGAAAUACGUGCGAAUUAUGAAAAUAUCCUAAUCGACGACAUUAACAUUCUGGUAAAUAUGUCUGCAAGAACUUGUGACUUGUACUGCAAAAGAAAAAAAGAUGAAUAUUCCAGUGCGAUUUUCUGCAAUGAUACUCAGGAAAUAGUAUCACUACAGAUCAUGGCGUGCAACUUGCUUAAGUUGUUACAUAAACAAUAUAACCAAAAACGCAGGGGAGAGUUCUAUCGCAAAGCAGCUGAAGUCUCAUGUAUGACAUUAGAUAUUAUACAAGGCCUUUGUAAUGAGAAAAAAGAGAUGUGUCAAGAGUCAAAUCUACACAAACAGGGGAAGUCUCCUGGAAAAAAAUGUCCUCAAGAAGUAUGUGCAUUAAAAAUAUAUAUAUCUAGCCUUCAAUCCUGCUGGAAUAAGUUUGAAACAGAAACUAUUAGGUAAAACUCCAAAUUUAAAUAUGCAACCUUGCUCCUUUUUCAAAUGGCAUUACUACAUAACUUUGCACUUUACAUGCAUUCUUCAAGUAUCUCUGUCUGCUUAUCCAAAUAUUUUGUGCCCAAGUCUUCAUUAAAGUAACUUCACCUUGUUUCUGGAGACAAAACCAUUGGAAACAGAUAAGCAAGACUGUUGAAAAACAAGAAGUAGAAACUGGCAACCUUAUUGCAAGCAAAGACCAAACAGAGAAAGCUGUAGUCCCAGCUGUAUACAGUGGAAAGUACUUAAAAUCUAUUCCUAUCUACAAAUCUACAUCCUGUCUGAGUAGCUUCAUAUAAUUUUAUGAUGAGAAGACACUUGUUGGUGCUAACUGCAAUAAAAAUCUUAGAAAUCACA
rnacentral:lncRNA from 1 species